AGUGAUCCUUUUGUAUCACGGAGAGCAGAAGCGACCUCGAUCGAACAUGGCGUCGAUCUGAUUAAGGUGCUAUAGUGUCACCAAGUACCAGACACCGGAGCAGACGCAGGUGUCGCACGACUACAAGCUUCAACACAAACUGGUUUCUUGAGUGCGUGGAAGCAUCUAGAAAACAGAAGAGCAAUUGGCAAAACCACCUUCACAUUACGAGCCAAAUUGAAAUCACCCAGACAAGGAAAUAAGUUUCCUUGACGCGCGGCGUCCUGCUGGCGAGUCAAGUCGAGGAAGUUGCGAGCAUGUUGGUCCGGCUCCGUAGCGUCUUGGGAACCCAGUUGAAAUGCGACGCGCUCGGCUCCAUGGAUUGCGAGUAGA